UACGUAGGGGGCUAGCGUUGUCCGGAAUUACUGGGCGUAAAGCGCACGUAGGCGGCUUGGUAUGUCGGGUGUGAAAUCCCCGGGCUCAACCUGGGAACUGCAUCCGAAACUGCCUUGCUAGAGUAUGGGAGAGGGAAGUGGAAUUUCCGGUGUAGCGGUGAAAUGCGUAGAUAUCGGAAGGAACAUCAGUGGCGAAGGCGACUUCCUGGACCAAUACUGACGCUCAGGUGCGAAAAGCGUGGGGAGCAAACAGG
rnacentral:rRNA from 1 species